GUGGGAGUUUAUGUUGGGUAAUAGGGUAGGCUUAAAAGAAAACAAAGGUUAAUAUGAAGUGUGGUUGAAUUCGUAUGGUAAAGAAACUGGUACUUGGGAACAUAAACACUUUCAGGCUAGCUUUUUUUUUAAAUAGAAUUUUGAAUUUUUUUUUCUUUGUAUUUUCAUACUUGGAUUGUAAAUAUGCUGAAUUCUCUUCUUCUUUUUUUGUUCAAACUUUUUUUUCACUUUUUUCAAAUACUAAUCCUGGGAAAGAUAAAAACGUGGAUACUUAAUUUAAC
rnacentral:lncRNA from 1 species